AAACCGUUUUCCAUGGGCGAAUUAGCUAAACAAUUCAGUCCACAAAGGGAGCAGCUCUGCUUCUGGAUACAAGAAGCUCAUCAAGCCGAAAGCUUGUUAAAGUACGCGACAGUGCAGUGUUGCGGUGGAAUAUCACACAUGGAAGAGGAAGAAUACAGAGAAAUCUACAGCUACUAGGAUGGAGUGCUUGUCAAGAGAUAUUGAUACGAGGAA
rnacentral:lncRNA from 1 species